AUUUAAAAAGCUCGUAGUUGGAUUUCGGAGAGGUACUGCCGGUCUGCCGUUUCGGUAUGCACUGGCAGCGCCUCUCUUGCUGCCGGAAACGGGCUCCUGAGCUUAAUUGCUCGGGACUCGGUGUCGGCGAGGUUACUUUGAGUAAAUUAGAGUGUUCAAAGCAGGCCUACGCUCUGAAUACAUUAGCAUGGAAUAACACGAUAGGACUCUGGCCUAUCUCGUUGGUCUGUGGGACCGGAGUAAUGAUUAAGAGGGACAGUCGGGGGCAUUCGUAUUUCAUUGUCAGAGGUGAAAUUCUUGGA
rnacentral:rRNA from 1 species